rnacentral:rRNA from 1 species
UACGAAGGGGGCUAGCGUUGCUCGGAAUCACUGGGCGUAAAGGGCGCGUAGGCGGCCAUUUAAGUCGGGGGUGAAAGCCUGUGGCUCAACCACAGAAUUGCCUUCGAUACUGGAUGGCUUGAGGCCGGAAGAGGUAAGUGGAACUGCGAGUGUAGAGGUGAAAUUCGUAGAUAUUCGCAAGAACACCAGUGGCGAAGGCGGCUUACUGGUCCGGAUCUGACGCUGAGGCGCGAAAGCGUGGGGAGCAAACAGG